UGGAGAGCAUCGAUUUUAUAUGAAAAGGGUGGUGAAUAUGGCUAAAAUUGUCAAGUAUGUUUAUGUUAUUAUUAUCUUCCUUUCUCUAUUUCUUGUUGCAACAAAGAUUGAAGUAGGUUUUACCAGCAGAACAGAGGAGUAUUAGAACAAUUGCCUAUGAUUUCGGAACAUUUCUAUUGUUUUCUAUAUUUGAGUCUGUAAUUCUAUUCUUCCCAAAACAUAGCAAUUUUAGGGUGUUCUUGAUGUAAUUCAUGAAUAAAUCAUGCAUAUCAGCAAAGGAUGACAUCUGAAGAUUUGUGAACACCUUGGUAAGAUGAAGAAUGAAGAUUCAAGAGGCCUCAGAAGACUUCACAAAGCAAGGAAUUAUGUUCCCAAGUUCAAAGACAUCUUACAUAGAAGCAAACACCUAAAAAGGCAAAAAAAACAUGUGUUUUCAGCAUCGGACAACAUUCACAAGCGCCUAGCGCACAGAUUGGGGCACCAGGUGCCCAAAGACGGUUUAAGCAAGCGUCUGAUGCAUGAAAUGGGGCGCCAGGAGCCUAACACUUCUCUCACAUGCAAAAGGCGCAUGGCAAUAGGGCUAGGUGUCUGGUUGCUUGCGAAAAAAGUCACAAUUUUGUGACUUGUUGUGGAAGAAAGCCUGCGGUUUCAGCCCAAGUUUAGGUGGAAACUUUCCCUAUAAAUACCGCCUUCCUCGUUCAGAACUGAGACAGUUUCAGAGGAAGGCGAGCACUAGGAGUUUUUAGGAGGAGUUUGUCUCUACUCUCUCCAAGUUUUUCUAGGGUAUAUUUUAUAUCUUUUGUAAUUUGUUUUUAGUUGCCAUGUUCAAAUAAAUCUUUUUAUGCUAGGGUCCUAAAAUAAAUCUCUAUUUUAUUUGUUGGAUAA